GCAUUGUUGGUGUAGGGGUAUCAUUUGAGAUUCCCAUUCUCAAGACACGGGUUCGAGUCCCGUACAAUGCA